AUACUUACUUGGCAAAGGAGAUACCAUGAUAACAAAGGUGGUUUUCCCAAGGCCAGGCUUAUCCAUUACACUCCAGAUGUGCUGACCCCUGCAAUUUCCCCAAAUGUGGGAAAUCAACUGCAUAAUUUGUGGUAAUGGGGGAGUGCAUUGGUAUUUUCCCCUG
rfam:Canis lupus familiaris chromosome 15, whole genome shotgun sequence.